AUCAAAAGGGGUGCUGGCCGGGAAGGCCGGCUGAGACGGCAGAGGCCGAACCCUGUAACCUGAUCUGGAUAAUGCCAGCGUAGGAACCUU
rnacentral:ncRNA from 1 species